UCAGGAGGAGUGGCAGCAGCUGGAACCUGCCCAGAAGGACCUGUACAGAGAUGUGAUGCUAGAGAACCUCCAGAACCUGGUCUCGCUGGUCUAGGACGACGUAAUCUCCACAAGACCCUUCUGAGCGUUCUGCCCAACGCCCCAUGAAUUAUAUGGUGCGAGUUCCAUGGCUGGUGUGAGGAGGCACUGUUCCCAGCCCUGCGUCGGCUCUGGGUACUGUUUUCAAUUCCUUUUGGGUGGUUUUUCUCCAGCCUUGGGUAGUUUCUGUAUACGAGGGUUCUGAUCAGUAACCCAAGUCCUGGAGGGAGGACCUUGCGUGUCUCCAGAGCCCGCUCUCCACACCUUCCUGUCCAGUACUCUGUCCUGGGAACUCCACCUGCCUCCAUCUCUCAAUUCCAUCUCCUCAACUCAGGGAGUCUGCCGGGCUUCGCCUCAGUUUCCCCUCCUGUGCUGUGGCCUGCGAACUUUCCUGUGAGUAAGUUGGGUGGUCGUAGGGCCUGCCUCUUUUGAGUCCUGUUUCAGGAAUCACUGCACUUUGUUGCCUGUUGUUCAGUGUCUUGAAAACCUUUGCUUUAUGUAUUUUGUCCUCUCUUCCUCCCAUUGCUUUAGGCUGUAGGCUGGAGGGAAAUCUUAUCUUUGUUACUCUAUCUUGGCCACAUUUUAGAAAAACAACAACAACAGUGUGUGUUCAUAUGUGUGUGUGCAUAACAGGGUGUGUUGUGCGUAUUUUUUUAAAGUAUGCACUGGGAAAGAAUUCUAAAAAUAUACAUCAAACUGUUAGAUGGUGAGAUUGCAGGAGACUUCCAUUUUAUGUUAUUUUUUGAUGUUUGAAUUAACAAGUGUGAAUUACUUUGUGAUCAGAAGCAAUUGUGGAAAUACAUAAUAUGGGGAAAGAAACUAUAAAGGACAAGAAAUCUAGUACCAUGAAAAAAAAAAAUCCACAUUUAGACCAAAAGGAAUGAAUAACAUUUUGGAUGUUUGUAGCUUGUUGCCGAAAUGGCCUCUGCAGACAUUGUCCUGUUAACAUUUCCCUUGACUGUGGGCACGAAGGCCCAUGUCCACACGCUGUCACCAGCCACACAUCAUCAAAUGCUUUGCUCCUUGCCAGUCUGAUUGGUGAAAAGCCAUAUGGCAGGGUCCUUUUAAUUUGGCUGAUGUUGAGCUGUGUUUGCAUAGCUUUUCACCAGUAAGAGCUGAUGUUUGCUUUUUUGCAAAUUAUCUCUCCUGAAGGGUGUUUGUUUUUUUUUUAAAUUGAAGUAGAGUUGAUUUACAAUAGUGUGUUAGUUUCAGCUGUACAGCAAAGUGAUUCAGUUAUAUACACAUGUAUAUAUUUUUAGAUUAUUUUCUAUUAUAGGUUAUUACAAGGUAUUGAAUGUAGUUCCCUGUGCUAUAUAAUAUAUCCUUGUUGCUCAUCUGGCUUAUGUAUAGUAGUGUGUAUCUGUUAAUCCCAAUCUCCUAAUUUAUCCCUCCCCCCCUUUCCCCUUUGGUAACCAUAUGUUUGUUUUCUGUGUCUGUCUGUUUUAUACAGAUUCAUUCGUAUUAUUUUUUAGAUUCCAUAUAUAAGUGAUUUCGUAUAAUAUUUGUCUUUCUCUGUCUUACUUCACUAAAUAUUAUAUUCUCUAGGUCCAUCCACGUUGCCAUAUCUCCUGAAGGGUUUUAAUCCCUGAAAGGGAGGCCGCCCCCUUUUUACUGCCCCGUAACUCUGGGAUUUUGCUGGCGUGCUCCCUCCAGCUCUCAUAUUUAUUCCAGAAGACUUCCAACUGUAUUCACAACCAAGACUCCGCUGCCUCCCAUCUCUGCAGGCUCAGGCCAGUGUAUAUCCCCAGCACGUCUCAGACCCCAUGCACCCCAAACCAGACCCGCUAUCAGCCUUCCUUUCCUCUUCCUACUGAGAAGUUACCCCCACCCAUGCCACGGGGCCUUCACGCCCCAUGCCUCCAUCUGCCCUAACAUCUGGGCAUCACGGCACACCCCAGGGUCACUAAGCCAGGAUCACUCUCAAGUAUUUCUCAAAUCCUUUGCUCUGGCAUGGGAAAGCACAAAAACACAGCAAAACAGUGAGUGACCAGGGCCCGUGGCUCUGUGGUCAUAGGCUUCAGUCUCAGCUCUGCCUCUCGUAUGCUGUGUGACCUUGAGUAUGUGGCUUCAUUCUCAGAGCUUCAGUUUCCUUGUCUGUAAAACGGGUAUGAUCUCAAACCUAACUACAUGGUCAUGGGGACCACGCGGAAUGAUCUGUGCCGACUGCUCAGCCCCGUACCGGGCACGUUGCCGGUGUGCAGUGCACGUUUACCUGCUACCUUGUGUGUGCCAGGUACCGUAACUAACCAGGCACGGGCCAGGGUCUUGCCCUCCUGGAGCUCACUUUCCACUGGCGGGCAGGGGCUGGUAGUAAACACAUCAAGGGACAAAAACAAGUUGCCACGGGCCAUAACGAACAAUCACUAGGAAGCAGGCAAGACGAUAGCAAGAGAGAUCUUCCUUUCUACCGUAAGAUGGAGGAUGGAGUAUCAAGGAGCCAGCAGGUGCAGAGGCCCAAGGCAGGAAGAGCUCAGCACAGACAAGGGGGUAAAAAGGGAACCGCAGGGCAAGUGUGCCUGAAGAAAAGGAAGACUUGGAAAUGAGACCUGAAAUGAAAGAACCGGACCUAAAGGAGGAGAUUUCGGAAGACAGACCAUCCGGGGCCUGGGGUACAGCCGUGGACGGAGCGCGGACGCAGGGUGACAGGGUGGAGCCGCGGCGGGGAAGCGCUAGGACCUGCCCGGGGCGGCUGGAAAUCUCCCGGGAGUCGGCCCCCGAAUGUCGUGAAUUGCAGGCGUUCGUUAACCAGAGCCCCACCCCGGCGCCACCCAGGUCGGGGGGUCCGAGAGAAGCAGGGAUUCACCCGUUUGCCAUGCGGGGCAAGAACCUCGCAGGUAACUCGGACCUUGGUAAACCCUCCAGACCGGACGUGGAGAAGAAAUCCUACGACUGCAGCGAGUGUGGCAAGGCUUUUGGCCGCAGCUCGUCGCUGGUCAAACACCAGCGCAUCCACACCGGGGAGAAGCCCUUCCAGUGCGACGUGUGUGGGAAGCACUUUCUGGAACGGUCGUCGCUGACCAUCCACCAGCGGGUCCACACGGGCGAGAAGCCGUACGCGUGCGGGGACUGCGGCCGCGCCUUCAGCCAGAGCAUGAACCUGAUCGUGCACCAGCGCACGCACACCGGCGAGAAGCCGUACGCGUGCGGCGAGUGCGGGAAAGCCUUCCGGAAGACCUCCUCCCUCGCCCAGCACGAGCGGGUCCACACGGGCGAGAAGCCGUACGCGUGCGGCGAGUGCGGCAAGGCCUUCCGCCAGAACAUGCACCUGAUCGUGCACCAGCGCACGCACACGGGCGAGAAGCCGUACGUGUGCGGGGACUGCGGCCGCGCCUUCAGCCAGAACAUGCACCUGACGGAGCACCAGCGCACGCACACGGGCGAGAAGCCGUACGCGUGCGGGGACUGCGGCCGCGCCUUCAACAAGAGCUCGUCGCUGACGCUGCACCGGCGCAACCACACGGGCGAGAAGCCGUACGCGUGCGGCGAGUGCGGCAAGGCCUUCAGCCAGAGCGCCUACCUGAUCCAGCACCAGAGGCUGCACAUCGGGGUGAAGCCUUUCGAGUGCGGCCAGUGCGGCAAGGCCUUUAGCAAGAACUCCGCGCUGACGCAGCACCAGCGCAUCCACACCGGCGAGAAGCCGUACGCCUGCUACAUCUGCAAGAAGCCCUUCACGGGCCGCUCGUCUCUGGUGGUGCACCAGAUGGGCCACACCGGCGAGAAGCCCUACGCGUGCGGCGAGUGCGGGAAGGCCUUCAGCCAGAGCGCCUACCUCAUCGAGCACCAGCGCAUCCACACGGGCGAGAAGCCGUACCGGUGCGCGCAGUGCGGCAAGGCCUUCAUCAAGAACUCCUCGCUCACGGUGCACCAGAGGAUCCACACCGGGGAGAAGCCCUACAGGUGCGGCGAGUGCGGGAAAACCUUCAGCCGGAACACCAAUCUCACGCGGCACCUGAGGAUCCACACCUAGGGAGCUUGGGGCGCCCCAGUCUACACCAGGUGGGCGGGGUCCUCGGCACGGGCCGUCGGCUCCGGGAGUUCUCAAGUGGGGGCCCAGGGUGGCGCCGCCCCGCGGCUCUUAGGAAUUGUGGGGAUCUUGGUUCCCACGCUCUCCUCCCCGGCCGGGCGUCCACACCACCGAGCCGGAAGGCAAGUUCCUCCGUGCCCAGUGUACUUGGGAAGGUUGCAAGGUUGGCUGUGGCUGGUAACUCACGGGAGUUCCAGGAACGGAGCGCGUCAGGGUUCCAGACCAAGCACAAAGUAAAUUUUAAGCGCUGAGAUGGAGCCUCCGGUCGGUCUCCGUUCAGAUAGUAAAGUUGGGGAGAGGCGUACAGGACUUGAUAAGAGCGUGGGGACGUUUGUCCCCUGGUCACACACACCUUCGGUCUAGUCCAGACGUAGGUUGUGAGUUUCCUCUAUGGGAAGAGCUAGAGGGGGACCCUUCGUCGUCCUUCCACAUCCCAGCCCCCCUGCAGUCUCCCUAAACCGUACUGGAAGCCCCCUCCCCCCAGGCUAAUAAGUGGUAGAAGUGGGCAAGUUCGUGAGAGGAAAAAAAAAAAAUUUUCAGAGUUAGCAAUAACAGUAAUCGCUUUGGAUGCCAAAGUUUCUCAUAGUGGUCUGUUAAAUUGUUUUUUAAAUAAAACUUUUCAUGAAGGGAGACCAAUGUCAUCUUAAACAGUCAUCAGAUGAGAAAGAUACAGGUACCAGGUGUGCUGUCAAGGUCGGUUUCAGUGCUCGUGGGAGAGGGCAGGGGAGCGAGUAACAACAGGCUUGAUAUUCAGGUUUAAAUACUUAACCGGAUUCAAUAAGUUGCGCAUCUGAGUCUCUUUACGUAGUUAUUUUUUGCAGUUGAACUUGAAGGAGUCUCCUAAGGCUGACCUGAAGUUUUGUGUACACAUAGAGUUCCCCCAGUCUCCCGUCUCCGGGACCUUUUCCACCACCUUUUUAUUUUAAUGUUCUGUGCUACCGGUCGCAAAUGUCCUGGCGUGUCUGAAUGUCUCACACUUCCUGACGCCGGGGUUCACAAAGAAUAAAUAAUUCAUUUUAAGCAACCACUUAUAUCAGUAAGCACAUUUCGUGUUGCAGGUAGAAAAAACAGCCAUGUAGAAACAUGGACAGUUCUUGAAUGUCUGUCAGGCCGCAGGCAUCAGGGUGGGCUUGAUCCAGACACACGGCGCGUCAGAACCACAGCUCUGCCUCCCCGUGGUCCGCUGGCUGUCCCUUCACGCACUGGCGUCGUCCUCAGGCUGGCUUCCCUUGUGGUUUCAUGGUGGUUUCCAGCAGCUCCUCUUGACACACUUCCUCAGUCUCGUCCAGAUGGGGACAGACCUCUUCCAGUCAUUGGCAAAAAAGCCCUACGCUUCAUUCCGCUGGACUCACCAGGGGCUGAUUGUUCUGACUAGAGAAAUGCCAUGUGCUGAUUGGCUUAGAUGUGGGUCUCGCCCUCAUCCUUGAAACAGUAGCUGUGGAAGGGGAAUAAAUGGGAGUGACUGCCCAGAUCGGCCUGAAACCACUGUCCACCCCUGACGUGGGCGUGGGGUCCAUUCCGCCCAGGUCACAGUCAGGGAGAAGUGGGAUGACACGGAGAAGCCGGCCCCAGCGUCAUCUGAUGGCCUCUCUGGCUUUUGUUGUGACAGUGAGGUCCUGCUGCGCGUGACAUUUUCUUCGGGGAGCCUUCUCAUUGCCUCGGUCACCACGAGAGCCCCCGGUCCUGGCUGUCCUCUGUGCUCUCUUGACCACGGGAUGGGGGCAGGGCCCAGAGAGACUGAGAGGCUCUGGGUCACGUCUGUUUGCACCAGCUUUCGUCGCCAUGCCCCCAUUCCCGUCGGCAAGAACAGAUGUCAGGGAGGAGUGGUCCAUCCCCCCUCCUGGAUGCAAGUGGGAAAUGCGGUCUCUGGAAGGACAGCUGCGUCCCAGGACUAACUCUGCACCAGGAAGGAAGGAACGUGAGGAGUGUGGGGGUUGCUGUCUCCGCCUGCCACCCAAAAUGCCAGUCAACAAGUGCGCACAUUUUCUCUGUCAAAGAUCAAGAUUUCCUGCUGAUCUCACUUCACCAACCCCAGUCUCUGCUCUAGAGGUGAGUGACUGCUGUGGAUUUGGGGUGCACUGGGAGUGUGCUUUUACUUUUCAUUUACAUACAUCUCUGUGCCUACAGAAGGAAAUGGAAUUUGUGUGUGCAUAUCUGCGAAUGCAUCGAUACUGGCCUGACUUUCCUUAUCUUGGCUAAUAUUACCCAUCCCAUAAUAACAGUGCCAAAUGCAUAUCAGCCUGUUACUAUGAUAUACGCACUGUUGCUAUUGACUAAGUUGUCAUAAUUAAAUCGAUAUGUCAUAUUUCAUUGAUGUUAAGGUGCACCUUUACUUUUUCUAUUGCUAACAUCUCUGACGUUGAAAUACAAUGGUCAAUAUUUGGAUUUUAGGAUUUUUAACUUCUUAUUGGGUAAGCAAUACACGUGGAAGGAAAACCGUCACAUUCACGGUGUGCCAUAGUCCAGGAAGAAAAAUUAGUUUACACCCUGAGAUUAACCAAAUAUAACAGGGCCAUCCUAUUUAGUCCUGAUCCCCCCAAAACAAAAAACUUCCUGUAAACCUGGAGUUUAAGCAAAAUCAACUUUAUCCGUGAGUUUUGCCAUGCUAAAAUUUGACGGUCUGUCAUGAACUUUCUGACUGUGAUAAUCGUUUAAUAAAAUUAGUGGUUUUUUGGGGGAAAUUCACUGAUGGUUCAGCGACUCAAGUCCUUCAGUGAAAGGACUCGGCGCUUUCACUCCCGGGGGCCCGGAUCCAAUUCCUGGUUGGGAAACUAAGAUUCC